UACGUAGGUGGCAAGCGUUGUCCGGAUUUACUGGGCGUAAAGCGCACGUAGGCGGCUUGUUAAGUCAGGGGUGAAAUCCUGGAGCUCAACUCCAGAACUGCCUUUGAUACUGGCAAUCUUGAGUCCGGAAGAGGUGAGUGGAACUCCUAGUGUAGAGGUGGAAUUCGUAGAUAUUAGGAAGAACACCAGUGGCGAAGGCGGCUCACUGGUCCGGUACUGACGCUGAGGUGCGAAAGCGUGGGGAGCAAACAGG
rnacentral:rRNA from 1 species